CGUAGGGUGCGAGCGUUAAUCGGAAUUACUGGGCGUAAAGCGUGCGCAGGCGGUUUUGUAAGUCAGAUGUGAAAUCCCCGGGCUUAACCUGGGAACUGCGUUUGAAACUACAAGGCUAGAGUGUGGCAGAGGGGGUGGAAUUCCACGUGUAGCAGUGAAAUAGCGUAGAGAUGUGGAGGAACACCGACGGCGAAGGCAGCCCCCUCGGGUUAACAACUGACGCUCAGGCACGAAAGCGUGGGGAGGCAAACAGGAUUAGAUACCCUGGUAGUCCACGCCCUAAACGAUGUCAACUAGUUGUCGGGUCUUAACGGACUUGGUAACGCAGCUAACGCGUGAAGUUGACCGCCUGGGGAGUACGGUCGCAAGAUUA
rnacentral:rRNA from 1 species